rnacentral:sRNA from 1 species
AUCGCAGAAACUAGCACUACUUCUCUGAAAAACCCUCUGCUUCAUUUCAUUUCGUGAGUUUAUUUCGACGAUCUGAAAACGAAAUGGCGGCGACGCUCCGGCUCAGGCUCCUCGCCGCGGCGGCGGCCGCCGCCGUCAUGGCGUCGUCCAUGGUCGGGAUAGCCUCCGCCGCCGAAGCGCCGGCGCCGGCGCCGACGUCCGGAGCAACCGCCGCCCCGGCCUUCGCCGUCGCGUCGCUCGCCGUGGCUGCCGUUGGAUACCUGUUCUGCUAAACCCGCAUCUCCGAUCGUCGCUUGGCCGAUCGCCAUGAGUGAUGCUGGUGCAUUGAUUAGCUCAAUUGUGUCAUUGAUUUGUUGAGUUGGUUUCUGUGUGGUGGUUGGAAUUUGGAUUUUGGGGGUGUAUGUACAUGGAUACAUCGAUAAAUUCAAAAUAUUUUUUUGUGACAGUAUAAU